GGUGAGAUGGCCGAGUGGUUUAAGGCGCAGUAUUGGAAUUGCUGUUUAAGACUUGUCUUAACGAGGGUUCGAAUCCCUCUCUCACCU
rnacentral:tRNA from 1 species